rnacentral:lncRNA from 1 species
GAGGUACUAGGUAUACAUCUGGGUCAUUUUAACUGCUUUUGAUAUUCCUUUGGGUGAAUAAAUCACAUUAAAAAAUAAUUUAUAUUGCGGUAACAUUGGUUUAUAACAUUAUAUAAGUUUCAGGUGUACAUCAUAUUUUGAUUUCUGUAUAGAUUACAUCAUGUUCACCACCCAAAGAGUAAUUACCAUCCAUCACCACACACAUGUGCCUAAUCACCCCCUUUCACCCCCUCCCUCCCCUCUUCCCCUCUGCUAACCACCAGUCCAAUCUCCUGUCGCUAUGUGAUUUCUGUCGGUUGUUUUUAUCUUCUACUUACGAGUGAACCACAUUUUUAGAUCUCCAUUCACCUAAUGAUUGUUAUCUCCACUUUCUCACUAUUACAGACAGGACUGCAAUGAACAUCUUUGUACUCAUCUCCCUGUGCACCUGAGACUCUGUUUAGAGUAGAACUGUUUUGCUGAAUUGUGAGGUUUGACCCUCUUCCAAUCUACUCGAUGUUCUCAAAUUCCUCCUCACAGGGAUUGUACCAACACACUCUCCUGUCAACUUGCAGAGGGGUUCCCUUUUUCCAGCUGCUUAUCAGACUUGCAAGAUUUUGCCCAUCUGAUCAGCGUGAGAACAAGUCUCCGCUGUUGCCAUGUGUUUCCCUGAUCACCAGCGACGCCCCCCGGUACAUAGUUGUAUAUUCUUCGUUGUGGGUCCUUCUAGUUGUGGCAUGUGGGAUGCUGCCUCAGCGUGGUUUGAUGAGCAGUGCCAUGUCCGCGCCCAGGACUCGAACCAACGAAACACUGGGCUGCCUGCAGCGGAGCGCGCGAACUUAACCACUCGGCCACGGGGCCAGCCCCUCAAAAGGCGUAUUUUUAAU